AAAAAACGAAAAAAAACGAAAAAAAAAAUGAAAAAAAAACGAAAAUAAAUAAAUAAAUAAAAUAUAACAGAAAAUUUUUGGACUUGGGCCUUUCUCAUUUGAGCCCACAGGUCCACAAAAAUCAGGUUAUAAAUUCAGAGUUUCAGUGAAACAAAAGGAAUCCUAUUCCUAUUACCCUGGCAGGAAAAAGAUAGUGAGAGAAGAGCUAACAGAGUUCAGAGCAACCUCCAGAGACUGAAGGGAACUCAUCG
rnacentral:lncRNA from 1 species